rnacentral:rRNA from 1 species
GGCGCACGGGUGAGUAACGCGUAUCCAACCUUCCCCUUAGUAGGGCAUAGCCCGUAGAAAUGCGGAUUAAUACCCUAUGUUAUUCGUCGAGGACAUCUGAAGUGAAUCAAAGGUUUACCGCUAAGGGAUGGGGAUGCGUCUGAUUAGGCAGCAGGCGGGGUAACGGCCCACCUGGCCGACGAUCAGUAGGGGUUCUGAGAGGAAGGUCCCCCACAUUGGAACUGAGACACGGUCCAAACUCCUACGGGAGGCAGCAGUGAGGAAUAUUGGUCAAUGGUCGAGAGACUGAACCAGCCAAGUAGCGUGCAGGACGACUGCCCUAUGGGUUGUAAACUGCUUUUAUCAGGGAAUAAAGUGAGGCACGGGUGCCUUUUUGUAUGUACCUGAUGAAUAAGGACCGGCUAAUUCCGUGCCAGCAGCCGCGGUAAUACGGAAGGUCCGGGCGUUAUCCGGAUUUAUUGGGUUUAAAGGGAGCGCAGGCGGAGGCUUAAGCGUGACGUGAAAUGUGGC